GGGCGCAUAGUGCCUUAGUGGUUUGCAUGUCCGCCUCACACCACCAGGGUUGGGGGUUCGAUUCCCACUGUGGCCC